GGGCCGGUAGUCUAGAUGGUUAUGACGUCGCCCUAUGCAAGCCGUUUCGAUUGUUUGCAGACGACUACAAGGCGAAGGUCGCAAGUUCGAAUCUUGCCCGGCCCACCA
rnacentral:tRNA from 1 species